rnacentral:lncRNA from 1 species
CUCACUUGCACCCAGGAAGGAUGGGAUUUCCAGCCUCCCCUCUGCAAAGAUGUGAACGAGUGUGCAGACGGUGCCCACCCCCCCUGCCACGCCUCUGCGAGGUGCAGAAACACCAAAGGCGGCUUCCAGUGUCUCUGCGCGGACCCCUACGAGUUAGGAGACGAUGGGAGAACCUGCGUAGACUCCGGGAGGCUCCCUCGGGUGACUUGGAUCUCCAUGUCGCUGGCUGCUCUGCUGAUCGGAGGCUUCGCAGGUCUCACCUCGACGGUGAUUUGCAGGUGGACACGCACUGGCACUAAAUCCACACUGCCCAUCUCGGAGACAGGCGGAGGAACUCCCGAGCUGAGAUGCGGAAAGCACCAGGCCGUAGGGACCUCACCGCAGCGGGCCGCAGCUCAGGACUCGGAGCAGGAGAGUGCUGGGAUGGAAGGCCGGGAUACUCACAGGCUGCCGAGAGCCCUCUGAGGGCAAAGUGGCAGGACACUGCAGAACAGCUUCAUGUUCCCAAAAUCACCGUACGACUCUUUUCCAAACACAGGCAAAUCCGAAAUCAGCAGGACGACUGUUUUCCCAACACGGGUAAAUCUAGUACCAUGUCGUAGUUACUCUCAGGCAUGGAUGAAUAAAUGUUAUAGCUGCAUUUGUCUGGCCUUUUCUUGUAAACAUUGCCUGAUUUGUUCCUUCUGGGGCUUUGCCAUUAAAAUGUAUUUACAGAUUACACAUCUUUAUUUUGUGAACCCUGGAAACACCACUCUUGCAAUCCUCCUGUCUCCACCUUCUGGCAUCUCUGAUGCCGUGCUCGUCUGCACUCUGCCCCGGCGGUCCCUCCAGCACUGGUUUUUCCACACCCCCUGCCCAUCACCAGGUGUCCACAGGGCCUACAUCUGGCUUCCCUCUUCUCCUGGGAAGAGCACUCCUGGCUUCCUGCAGGGCCGGUGGGAGGAGGAAAGUGAUUCUGAGGGAGAGGCUGGAGCCUUAAGGACCAACAAGGCAAAGUGACUUGUCUCAUCCUCCAGAGAUUCACCAACACAUGAGCCUCAGACCCCAGGCUUCUGCCUCCAGCAGCCGCCCUGCCGCACACUGCUCUUACUCCUCCUUAUACCCUCACUCACGGGGAACACAGCCCAGUGAUCCCGGAGGAAACUCACUCCCUCCCUGACUCAACAAGGCAGUCUCGGGGGCACCGUUAGCCACGCGACCCUGUAAAGCUGCCGUCCUCAUUUCACAUGUGAAGCAGCUGAAUUCCAGAGUGCUGGGUCCCAGCCCAGGCAGCCCUCAGCCUCACGCAAGGCAAUAGUUAGGAGUCCUUCGGCAUUGAAAGCAAACUCAGACACAUCUGACCUGGAGUUCUACCUGCACUAAGAGAAGAGAGUGGUAACUAAUUCAUGGAUAAAACAGACCAUCGAGGCAGCACUGAAUGAUCUCACCCACGAAUGACAACAGUGGCACAGGAGGGCUAUGAACAUUUUGCUUCAGGAUGUUUUAUUUCGCUCUACUGUUAUGUAGAGAAAGCAUGGUUUGCUUUUUAUAACUUUUGUGACCCAAAAAUACCAGACUGUUGUUUUCCCUAGGUGCCAGGCCAUCCUGUUCUGUGUGUUCCCAAACUCUUAGUUUUGUUCAUGUAAAACUCAUGAUUUCAUAAUUAAAACAAUAUUAA